rnacentral:rRNA from 1 species
AGCAGCCGCGGUAAUUCCAGCUCCAAUAGCGUAUAUUAAAGUUGUUGCAGUUAAAAAGCUCGUAGUUGAAUUUCGGGGUCAGUAGGCUGGUCAUGCCACUGGUAUGUACUGGUCUUACUGAUUCCUCCUUCCUGACGAACCGUAAUGCCAUUAAUUUGGUGUUGCGGGGAAUUUGGACUGUUACUUUGAAAAAAUUAGAGUGUUUAAAGCAGGCUAACGCUUGAAUACAUUAGCAUGGAAUAAUGGAAUAGGACGUUCGAUCCUAUUUUUGUUGGUUUCUAGGAUUUGACGUAAUGAUUAAUAGGGAUAGUUGGGGGGCAUUAGUAUUCAAUUGUCAGAGGUGAAAUUCUUGGAUUUUAUUGAAGACUAACUACUGCGAAAGCAUUUGCCAAGGAUGUUUUCAUUAAUCAAGAACGAAAGUUAGGGGAUCGAAGACGAUCAAAUACCGUCGUAGUCUUAACCAUAAACUAUGCCGACUAGGGAUCGGAUGAUGUUAAUUUUUAAUGACUCAUUCGGCGCC